UGGGGAAUUUUGGACAAUGGGGGAAACCCUGAUCCAGCCAUGCCGCGUGAGUGAAGAAGGCCUUCGGGUUGUAAAGCUCUUUCAGCCGGAACGAAAUGGUCACGGUUAAUACCCGUGACAAAUGACGGUACCGGAAGAAGAAGCACCGGCUAACUACGUGCCAGCAGCCGCGGUAAUACGUAGGGUGCAAGCGUUAAUCGGAAUUACUGGGCGUAAAGCGUGCGCAGGCGGUUUUGUAAGUCAGAUGUGAAAUCCCCGGGCUUAACCUGGGAACUGCGUUUGAAACUACAAGGCUAGAGUGUGGCAGAGGGGGGUGGAAUUCCACGUGUAGCAGUGAAAUGCGUAGAGAUGUGGAGGAACACCGAUGGCGAAGGCAGCCCCCUGGGUUAACACUGACGCUCAGGCACGAAAGCGUGGGGAGCAAACA
rnacentral:rRNA from 1 species